GCGCCGUAUCUGCUUCCUUGUGUUGUUUGAAAUAUAACAAACGAAGAAAUCUCAACUUUGUCUGAGACAUACGAAACUGACCUGGCAUGUAAUUUUGACGAAUUCAAUUGGGAGGUCGCUCGAUGGCGAACACGUACGCUGAUUUAUAUCACCUCGCGAGUGCUACCGUGGAGAUAUAUCAAGGUACUACGUCUGUUGAAAACAAAUGUACGGUCAACAAUGAACAACGACAGGUUAUCAUCGCUAGCAUUACUGCAUAUUCAUCGGG
rnacentral:lncRNA from 1 species